CUCAGAGUCCAUAUAGGGAUGUGGUGAUGUGCUUCUGCAGUUCUGGUGCUCCUAAGACUACUUAACUGUGUCCAACACUGGCCAACAACCAACCAACAACCUCACCUGCCUUUGUGGCCCUAGCAUUUAUAUACCCUCUAAAAAGUCCUCAGAAUUCCAAACAUUACACAACUGCAGAAGGCAUCUACAGCUGGAAAAAUCACACCCCUGCUGGAGCAUGAGGCAAAUCAUAGUCAGCUGCUGUGAACAGUCUGAAGAAGCCCUAUAUCUCACACCUGGGAUCAAAACAAAAACAUAUAUUAUUUCUCUCUCUCUCUCUCUCUCUCUCUCUCUCUCUCUCUGUGUGUGUGUGUGUGUGUGUGUGUGUGUGUGUUUUAUUUUUUAAGAAACCAAAACUCCAAAAUGUCACUACAUUUCCCCCACUUCUGUUUUGUACCAUUCAUUGUGUUGUGUGUAGUGGGAAGUUAUAAACAGAGGCAUUUUCAAUGAAGUAAGUACUUUUCAGAUCAAUAGCCAAGGUUUUCAGGAGACCUCUCCUGCUCAAUUCUAAUUUUUGUCAGUUUUGAUGGCAUCCACAAUUUUUCAUUUCCUGUGGAAAUAUAAGCAAAUCCAUGUCCCCAAUGCAAAACUUUCUUGGGCUUCCCUUCUGAUCUUAAUAAAUCCUUAUAGUACAUAGACAGAUUUAAUUCCACAUUUUUCUUGUUUUUUUUUUAAUCUUUCAGCUUUAUUGGAGUUAGUUAGACAAUAGGAAAGGAGUUGUUGUCCAGAUCACAAGAGAUUCAUAAUCAGUUGUUAUCCUAUAAUAAUUCCACAUUUUUCUAUGACCUAGAGACUCUUUUGUCGAAUGUUGAGUUUAUCUGUCUACGUGUUACUCCUUGGCUGAAACCGCUCAUAUUUUUGCUGUGGGGCCUCAAGCUAGACUUCCAAAGUCAUUUCCUGAUGAACAAGAUGUAGAACUCUCAACUACUCCACCAUGUCUGUCUGAAUACUGCCAUGCUUCUGGCCAUAAUGAUGAUGGACUGAACCCCUGAACCUGUAAGCCACCCCCAGUUAAAUGCUGUUGUCCCUUAUGUGAGUUGCCUUGGCCAUGGUGUGUCUUCUCAGCAAUGGAAACUCUGAGAAACCCAGCAACCGAUCUUUUACUAUAUUCAUUCCUCUUGCUCUAUUUUUACUGUUCAAUAUUCUCAGCUUCUUCUCUCCACUAUGUUAAUCACUGCUAGUGUGGACCAGCUUCUAGUACAGCUGUUACCAAUCUCUUUCAGUCUUGGGGGAAUAAUUCCAUUUUGAGUAGUUCAGUUAUUUAGAAUUUGUUUCACAUAAGGUGAGUGUGUCCUAUAUGAAAUCAUAGCCUCUUUAAACCAUCUUAGAUCUAUCAUUUCUGUAGGACACCAGUCUAUCUCUUCUUUAUAACCUUGUUCCACACCAUUAGCAGGCAUAUGCUGUAUGACUAUUGGGUAAGCUGAUGAUAAUCUUGUAACCCCAGUUAAACCCUCCUCCCACUCUGGUGGUACAAUUGGUUCAAGAUUAAGCCUUCCUUUUGAAACAAGCUGUUUCAUCAGAUUGUCCUCCCACCUCUUCAGCUUUGCUCUGACCCAACUGCCCUCCAGCAUAGUUCCCCCCUCUUUCCUCUGAGAAACUCCUGCUCUCUUGCUCAGUCACCUGGACUGAGCCAUUUUGUUCUCUUUUCCCGUGCUCCUCCCCUCUCUCGCUUUCACUUCCACCUGUAAUUUUUCCUAUUUUAUUUCUCAAGCCCUUCCAUUUUCACCUGGAAAUUUCCCAACUUCUCAGCCAUUCUACUAACCUUUUUAAAAACAGAAUACAGAAAGAAGAGAAGAGAAGAGAAGAGAAGAGAAGAGAAGAGAAGAAGAAGAAGAAGAAGAAGAAGAAGAAGAAGAAGAAGAAGAGAAGAGAAGAGAAGAGAAGAGAAGAGAAGAGAAGAGAAGAGAAGAGAAGAGAAGAGAAGAGAAGAGAAGAAGAAGAGAAGAGAUCAUCUCUGGGAGCAGAGCAGGGGAUAUCCCAGUGGUAGCAGCCACAAUAAAUUUUUGCUAU
rnacentral:lncRNA from 1 species